CUCCAUGGGGACAGGGACCCCAUAUCCACCACAUCCUCAAAGGUGGGUGUGGGGUCUUGGUGGGGUCACAGAUGGAAGGAUGAGGUGGAUAUGGGGUCCUGGUGGGGUCACUUCUGGAAGGAUGAGGUGGAUAUGGGGUCCUGGUGGGGUCACUUCUGGAAGGAUGAGGUGGAUAUGGGGUCCUGGUGGGGUCACUUCUGGAAGGAUGAGGUGGAUAUGGGGUCCUGGUGGGGUCACUUCUGGAAGGAUGAGGUGGAUAUGGGGUCCUGGUGGGGUCACUUCUGGAAGGAUGAGGUGGAUAUGGGGUCCUGGUGGGGUCACUUCUGGAAGGAUGAGGUGGAUAUGGGGUCCUGGUGGGGUCACUUCUGGAAGGAUGAGGUGGAUAUGGGGUCCUGGUGGGGUCACUUCUGGAAGGAUGAGGUGGAUAUGGGGUCCUGGUGGGGUCACUUCUGGAAGGAUGAGGUGGAUAUGGGGUCCUGGUGGGGUCACUUCUGGAAGGAUGAGGUGGAUAUGGGGUCCUGGUGGGGUCACUUCUGGAAGGAUGAGGUGGAUAUGGGGUCCUGGUGGGGUCACUUCUGGAAGGAUGAGGUGGAUAUGGGGUCCUGGUGGGGUCACUUCUGGAAGGAUGAGGUGGAUAUGGGGUCCUGAUCAGGAGGGGGUGACCAGGACCCCAAACCCACCUCAUCCUUCCAUCUGUGACCCCACCAAGACCCCACACCCACCUUUCUCUUCCCCAAAACGACCCCCCGGCUGUCCCCAUGGAGGUGUGGAGGCAAUGUGCCCAUUGGUUGGUGGCAGCACGGGUUCUCCCGGCGGGUCACCGUGCCAGCAGCCCCACGGGACAAGUUUGGGACCUGGCACAGGCGUUGAGGGACGGGGUUCUCCUCUGUCACCUCCUCAACGCCCUCCUGCCCAACGCCGUGCCCCCCCGGGACAUCUGUCCCCGUCCCCAAAUGUCACAGUUCCUGUGCCUGAGAAACAUCCGCACUUUCCUGACCGCCUGCGCCGACAAAUUCGGGCUCCCCAAACAUCGCCUCUUCGGGGCCUUCGACCUCUUCGACGUUCAGGAUUUUGGGAAGGUGAUUGA
rnacentral:lncRNA from 1 species